GCGGAAGUGGCGAAAUUGGUAGACGCACCAGAUUUAGGUUCUGGCGCCGCGAGGCGUAAGAGUUCAAGUCUCUUC
rnacentral:tRNA from 1 species